rnacentral:rRNA from 1 species
AUUGAACGCUGGCGGCAGGCCUAACACAUGCAAGUCGAGCGGAGCGGCGGACGGGUGAGUAAUGCCUAGGAAUCUACCUGGUAGUGGGGGAUAACGUCCGGAAACGGACGCUAAUACCGCAUACUAUCAGAUGAGCCUAGGUCGGAUGGGCUAGUUGGUGGGGUAAAGGCCUACCAGGGCGACGAUCCGUACCUGGGCUGAGCGGAUGAUCAGGCACACGGGAACGGAGACACGGUCCAGAGGCCUACGGGAGGAAGAGGGGGGGAAGAGUGGACUAUGGGAGAAAGCCUGAUCCAGCGAUGCAGCGUGUGUGCAGAAGGUAUUCGGAUUGUAAAGUUCUUUACGUUGGGAGGCGGUACCAACAGAAUAAGCACCGGCUAACUUCGUGCCAGCCGCCGCGGUAAUAC